rnacentral:rRNA from 1 species
UACGGAGGGUGCGAGCGUUAUCCGGAUUCACUGGGGUUAAAGGGUGCGUAGGUGGGAAUGUAAGUCAGUGGUGAAAUCUCCGUGCUUAACACGGAAACUGCCAUUGAUACUAUGUUUCUUGAAUUUUCUGGAGGUUAGCGGAAUAUGUCAUGUAGCGGUGAAAUGCUUAGAUAUGACAUAGAACACCGAUUGCGAAGGCAGCUAACUACACAAUCAUUGACUCUGAGGCACGAAAGCGUGGGGAUCAAACAGG